rnacentral:lncRNA from 1 species
AAAAGACUUGACACUUCAGAGCCUUGAGCCUGCUUGCCUGUGACAUGACAGUAAGAAGUAAUACCCAAGAGAGGUGAGGAUUAAGCAGGAUAAUGGAUGUGAACGUACACACGGUUCCUGGUGCCCAAGGGCAGGACACUUUGUGUAUUUUCAUCCCUGUUGCUCAGGCACGCAGGGGCUUUGUAGAUGAGUGGAGAUGUUUUCGUUGAAUACGUUCUGUGAAGGCCACUCUUCCUUGUGAAUAUAAGUCAUCCUUCACUGCAGAACUGGAGUUGGGACCCCAGGGUUCCUGUCACAGACCCACGUGACCUGCUUCAGCAAGACAGGAGGCCCCUGACUCACUUGUUCCCUGGGGCCAGCCAGCUGCCCUUCCAUACCUUGUCUUUCUCAGGUUUGGGGACCACUUUGAGUGGAACAAGGUGACAUCCUGCAUUCACAAUGUCCUGAGUGGUCAGCGCUGGAUCGAGCACUAUGGGGAGGUGCUCAUCCGAAACACACAGGACAGCUCCUGCCACUGCAAGAUCACCUUCUGCAAGGCCAAUUACUGGAGUUCCAAUGUCCACAAGGUGCAGGGCGCUGUGCUCAGUCGGAGUGGCCGUGUCCUCC